GUUGUGAUGCGUCACAUAGUUCCUGGCAUGCCAUUGUCCUGAAUUCACCUACUAAUUUUACCCUCAGAGAAAGAGAGAGUCUUUGGAGAGUUGUGAGGAGAUAAGUGACAUAAACUGGCAUGUUCUGAAAGAAUCACUCUGGAUGCUGUGUGGAGAAAACACUGAAAAGAAUUCUAGAGUGAAAGUUUCAUGAAUAUAAGAAGCAAGACAAGGAAGUGGCUUAUGCUUAAGGCCUUAAAGGCAACCACUGUGACAAUCCAGCCAUUCUCUGGAGAAUUCAGCAGAAAGCCAGUUGGAAGGUUUGAAAUGGAAAUUACAAGCGCAAUAUUACAGAAGUGUGGAUUUUAGUUACAAUGUCUCUAUGAGAAAGUCUAAAAGUUAAACAUAAGCAAAACAACAAAAACAUCUAAAUACCAGACACUAUCCUCAGAAAUUAGAUUUGAAAAAUGAGCUUCAUUUUCGAAGAACAUAUUUCUUUAUAGGGGGAGAAUAAUUGACUCCAUUCAAGUGUUCGCUCCUGUUUCAAUCAACUAUGGCUGAAGAGUGAGGAGACAUUUGGAAUAAAUAUGGCUUCUGGGGGCCCAUUCCUAUGGAUCAGCAGCUGGCUUCUGGAGGCCCAUUCCUGUGAAUCGUCGAUCUCAUAGAAGAUAAUAUUGUUAGAAGGCUUACCUCAUUGAUGCUGAACAUCCUAAAAAGCUUCUGCUGCUUUGAGUCACUGAAAAAGACCAAGAAACAUGAAUUUAAAAAAAAAUUUCAAAUGUUAUAAAAUAAAUAAUAUGAACUCAUUAUACCUACAAUGAAUAAUUUAAAUUCUUCUUUGGUAGUCCAGCAUAGGUUUAGAAACUAUGAAAACCCUAGAAGAAAACCUAGGCAAUGCCAUUCAGGACAUAGGCACGGACAAAGAUUUCAUGACGAAGACGCCAAAAACAACUGCAACAAAAGCAAAAAUUGACAGAUGGGAUCUCAUUAAACUAAAGAGCUUCCAUACAGCAAAAGAAGCUACCAUGAGAGUGAACAGACAACCUAUAGAAAGGGAGAAAAAUUUUGCAAUCUGUUCAUCUGACAAAGGUCUAAUAUCCAGCAUCUACAAGGAACUUAAAUAAAUUUACAAGAAAAAAACAAACCCAUUAGAAAAUGGGCAAAGGACAUGAAAAGAUACUUCUCAAAAGACAUACAUGUGGCCAACAAUCAUACAAAAAAAACCUCAACAUCACUGAUGAUUAGAAAAAUGCUAAUCAAAACCACAACGAGAUACCAUCUCAUACCUGUCAGAAUGGCUAUUAAUAAAAAGUUAAAAAACAACAGAUGCUGGUGAGGUUGUUGAGAAAAAGGAAUACUGUUAUACUGUUGGUGGGAAUGUAAAUUAGUUCAACCAUUGUGGGAGACAGUGUGGCAUUUCCUCAAAGACCUAGAGGCAGAAAUACCAUUUGACUCAGCAAUCACGUUACUGGAUAUAUACCCAAAGGAAUAUAAAUCAUUCUAUUAUAAAGAUACAUGCAUGCGCAUGUUCACUGCAGCAUUAUUCACAAUAGCAAAGACAUGGAAUCAACCCAAAUGCCCAUCAAUAACACACUAGAUAAAGAAAAUGUGGUAUAUAUACACCAUGGAAUACUAUUCAGCCAUAAAAAGGAAUGAAAUCAAGUCCUUUGCAGGAACAUGAAUGAAGCUGAAGGCCAUCAUCUUCAGCAAACUAACACAGGAACAGAAAAUAAAAUACCACAUAUUCUCACUUACAACUGGGAGCUGAAUGAUGAGAACAUAUGGACACAUAUAGGGGCACAACACACACUGGGGCCUGUUGGAGGGUGCUGGGGGGAGGAGGCAGAGCAUCAGGAAGAAUAGCUAAUGGAUUCUGGGCUUAAUACCUAAGUGAUGAGAUGAUCUGUGCAGCAAACUACCAUAGUACAUGUUUACCUAUGUAACAAACCUGUACGUCCUGCACAUGUACCCCUGAACAUUAAAAAAGUGUGUUUAAAUUGUGAGAUAAGGAUUCAAGAGGGCCUCUUGCUUCACUAUUGUUCACUUUCCUAGCUUUAAGUUUUCUCUUCUAUUUAUCAUAAGUAUUUAUCCUUAAAUGCCAUGUCAAAUGAUGACUGGUUAAUUAAUUAUUAUUAUUUUUUAGUUCAAAGGGUCCCUUCUAAUGUUAUUUAUCUUUUAACAAGGGAAGACAGGAAUAUUUUCAAGAUCCAAGUAUUUAAAAAGGUGGAAGUGAGAUAGGAUCGGGGUUUGGAAUGAAGUAGAAAGAAAAGGAAACAUGUAAAAAUGUAAAAUCACCAUGUAGGAGCCCAACAUAUCCAAUAUAAGCUAUACUGCUUUGGGUUAUCUAGCUCAUAAUUUUUCUUUGCCUAAUUUCUCUACUUAGAAAUACCAUGUCACUUACGGUGUGUUUUUAAUUGAGGAAAGUUAAUUACUAACUAUUGUUUUGUAAAACUCAUAUGCCAAUUUAUUCUAGGCUAAAAUCAACUUGGCAGAUAAUUAUUUUUAAAUAACAAACAAAAGACCUUUCCUUUCUGAUGCUUUUCCCAAAACAUGCAAUAUAAACCAAAGAGUAAAACAAAAUAAUGUGUUACACUUCUCUUCAACUAGUCUACCAUCACUUCUGUUUAACUGGUUUGAUACAUUCAUGAAAAAUUUCCUUUAAAAGACAUAUUCUUCUAAAACUAAUUUAAAAUAAAACUCUUAUUAAUAUUUUCAAUUCCUACCACUAUCAAUUAUUUGGAAUUAGACCAGGUUAAGAAUUUAAAACUUUGCCUAUCAUUUUGUAUUUUAAAGUCAUGGGUAUUGAUAAGGGACUAAUAUUUAGGAAUUAUUUUAUGUCUUUCAUUUCCUUAUCUUCUCAGUUAACAGGUAUGCUGAGCCUUUGCUAUUUUCACAAUAAACUGAUUACUUGGUUGAUUUAGGUAGCAAAAAAGAUAAUGAACCUGUAUCAAAUUUCUACUUACAUUAUUUUAUGCAUAGUAAAUAAAAAUUUCAUUGCUGUGCAUCCUCUUACUAGUAACUACAAAUUUUAUAAAAAUACAAUUUUUUAAUUAUUUUGCCACUGAAGCUGCAAUGACUAGCAGAAUGUCUGGCAUAUAACAAGUGCAGAAUUAUUUUUAAUAGAUUUAUUGAGGUAUAUUAAUAUACAAUAAAAUGCCCACAUUUAAAUUGUUUUGACAUUUUGACAAUUGUUUUGACACACAAAAUAAGUUUUGACACAUGUACAGACUCAUAAAGCCCUCACCAAAAUCAAGGUAAUCAACAUAUUCAUUACUCCCAAAAGUUUCCUCAUGCUUUCUUUGUAAUCUCGCCCAGCAAUCACCCCGCACCCCAUCCCCAUGCAACCAGUGAUCUGUUUUCUGUCACCAUAGAUUAGUUUGCAGUUUCUAGAAUUUGAUAUAAGUGAAAUCGAACAGUAUAUAUUGUUUUCUGCCUGGCUUCUUUCACUCAGCUUAAUUAUUUUGAGAUUCAUUUGUCAUGUGCGAAACCAUAGCUUAUUUAUUUUUAUUCCUUUUGUUGACUAGUAUUCUAUUGUAUGGCUGUACUACAGUUUGUUUAUCCAUUCAUCUGUUGAUGAACAUUUGAGUCGUUCCCAGUUUUCGGCUUUUACAGAUUAAGCUACUGUGAUGAUGGGUACAUAAGUCUUUAUAUAGACAUACUUUCAUUUUUCUGGGGUGACACUUCAGAGUAGGAUGGCUGGAUCAUACAGUAGGUGUAUGUUUGACUUUUUAACAGACUGCCAAACUGUUCUCCAAAGUGAUUCUACUAUUUAACAUUUUUAUCUGCAUUGUAUAGCAUUCUCCCUUCCUCUCACUGUUGGUAUGGUCAGUCUUUUGAAUUUUAGCCACUCUCAUAGGUAUACAGUGGUAUCUCAUUGUGGUUUUGUUUUUCCCUAAUGUUUAAUGAUGUUUAGCAUUCAUACAUUUUUUUUUUUUGCCAUCUGUUCAUCAUUUUUAGUGAAGUGUCUUCAUGUCUUUUUCCCAUUUGGUAUAGGAAGGGAGUUGGUUGUUUUCUUAUUAGUUAGCUUUAAGAGCUCUUUGUAUAUUCUGGAUAUUAGUCCUUUAUGAGACAUACGAUUUCAAAUAUUUUCUCCCAUUCAGUGGCUUAUCUUUUCAGUCCUUUAACAGUGUCUUUCAAAGAGCAGAAGUUUAUGAUUUUGCUGAAGUCCAAGUUAUCAGUUUUAUAUGGAUUGUAUUUUGAGUCAACCCUAAAAAAAAAAAAUUGCCUGACUGAAGGUCAUAAAGAUUUUCUCCUAUAUUUUCUUCUAGAAGUUUUAUAGUUUUAGGUUUUAUAUUUAGGUCUGUGUUCCAUUUUGAGUUAAUUUGAAGGGUUUUUUUGUAUAUGGAUGUCCGAUUGUUUCAGCAUUAUUUGUUGAAAAUAUGACUCUUUCUCCACCGAAUUGCUUUUGCGUCUUUGUGGAAAAUUCAGUUAUUUAUACACAAGUGGGUCUGUUUCUGAACUCUGUCUCCUGUUCCAUUGAUCUAUCUGUUAUUUAUGCCAAUACCACACUGUCUUGAUUACUGUGGUUAUAUACUACUCUUAAAAUAUUCAACUUUCUUCUGUGUUUUCAAAAUUGUUUCAGAUCUUCUAGUUUCUUUGUUUUUCCAUAUGAACUUUAGAAUCAGCUUAUCUCUUUUUGUUUGUUUGUUUUUUGAGAGAGAGCCUCACUCUGUCACCCAGGCUGGAAUGCAGUGCCAAUGAUCACGGCUCACCACAGCCUCAACCUCCUGGGCUCAGGUGAUCCUCCCACCUCAGCCUCCCGAAUAGCUGGGACUAUAGGCACACACCACCAUGCCCAACUAAUUUUUGUAGUUUUUGUAGAGACAGGGCUUUGCCAUGUUGCCCAGGCUGGUCUCAGACUCCUGGGCUCAAGCAAUCCUCCCACGUCCACCUCGCAAAGUGCCAGGAUUACAGGCAUAAGCCACCAUGCCUGUCCCAGCUUAUCAAUUUCUACCAAAAAAAAAAAAUUGCCAGAAUUUUGCUUGACACUUUUUUUAUUCUUUAGGUCAAUCCAAGGAAAAUUGACUUAUUAUAACCAUAUUGAGACUUCUGACUCAUGGCUCAAUAUAUUUUUAUUAAAUAAAAGAAGAAUUUUUGAAACGGGUUUUGGAAUAAUUUUCAGAAGUUCUAGGAAAAUUAGAAAUAUCAUGUUUAACUGCUGAAAGAAAUCAUAGAUGACACAAACAAAUGAAAACACAUCUCAUGCUUGGGGUGGGGGGAGGAAAUCAAUAUUGUUAAAAUUACCAUACUGCCCAAAGCAAUCUACAGAUUCAAUGCAAUUCCUAUGAAAAUACCAUCAUCAUUCUUCACAGAACUAGAAAAAAAAUCCUAAAAUUCAUAUGGAACCUGCAUAGCCAAAGCAAUACAAAGCAAAAAGAACAAAUCUGGAGGCAUCACAUCACCCAACUUCGAACUAUACUACAAGGUUAUUGUUACCAAAACAGCAUGGUACUUGUAUAAAAAUAGGCACAUAGACCAAUGGAACAGAAUAGAGAACUCAGAAAUAAAGCCAAAUACUUAUAGCCAACUGAUCUUUGACACAGCAAACAAAAACAUAAAAUGGAGAAAGGACACCCUAUUCAACAAAUGGUGCUGGGAUAAUUGGCAAGCCACAUGUAGGAUGAUGAAACUGGAUCCUCAUCUCUUACCUUAUACAAAAGCCAACUCAAGAUGAAUCAACGACUUAAAUCUAAGGGCUGAAACCAUAAAAAUUCUAGAAGACAACAUCAGAAAAGCCCUUCUAGACAUUGGCUUAGGCAAAGAAUUCGUGACCAGGAACCCAAAGCAAAUGCAACAAAAACAAAAAUAGGUAAAUGGGACAUAAUUAAACCAAAAAGCUUCUGUACAGCAAAAGAAAGAAUCAGCAGAGUAAACACAUAACCCACAGACUAGGAGAAAAUAUUCACAAAGCAUGAAUCUGAGAGAGGACUAAUAUCCAGAAUCUAUAAGGAACUCAAACAAAUCAGCAAGAAAAGAAAUAAAUAAUCCCAUCAAAACGUGGGCAAAGAACAUGAAUAAAUAAUUCUCAAAAAAGAUAUAUAAACAGUCAACAAAUAUAUGAAAACAUGCUCAACAUCACUAAUUAUCAGGUAAAUGCAAAUUAAAAUUGCAAUGAGAUACCCCCUUACUUCUGCAAGAAUGGCCAUAAUAUGAAAAAGACACUUGCACAUGCAUGUUUAUAGCAGCAAAAUUCAUAAUUGCAAAAAUAUGGAGCCAACAUACCUGCCCAUCAAUCAAUGAGUGGAUAAAGAAAAUGUGGUAUAUAUACACCAUCGAAUGUGGUAUAUAUGCACUCAGUCAUAAAAAGAAAUGAGAUAAUGUAUGUUGCACCAACUUGGAUGGAGCUGGAGGCCAUUAUUCUACAUGAAGUAACCCUCAGGAAUGAAAAACCAAAUAAUGUAUGUUCUCACUUAUAAGUAGGAGCUAAGCUGUGAGAAUGCAAAGGCUUAAGAAUGAUAUCAUGGGCUUUGGAGACUUGUGGGGAAGGAUGGGAGGGGGGUGAGAGAUAAAAGACUACACAUUGGGUACAGUGUACACUGCUCAGGUGACAGGUGCACCAAAAUCUCAGAAAUCACCACUAAAGAGUUUAUCACUGUAACCAAAAACCACCUGUUCACCAAAAGCUAUUGAAAUUUUAAAAAGAGAUAAAAUAAAAAUGCAUAGUUUAAAAAUGUAGAUAGUAUUCAUAUGGUUCAAAACUCCAAAAUUAUAGAAGAAUACAGAGCAUCCCUCCCACUCUUGCCUCCCAGGAACCCAAUUCUCAUCCUCCAUGAUCUGCACAUUAAAAGUUUCCCCAUUCAUUUUUAUGGCCCUGGAUGUAGGGCCAUAAAAUGGCUUGUAAGGAUGUUCCAUAAUUUAUUUAAUCAGUGUCUUAGUGAGGGACAUUUAGAUUAUUUCCAAUUCUUUGCCACUACAAAAAUUCCACAAUAAAUAACCUUGUACAAUCAUAAUUUCCUACAUGUAUGUACAUAGCUGAAGAAUAAAUUCUUUAAAAUGAGAUUGACACCUCAAAGGGUAUAGAUAUUUAUACUUUUGAUAGUUACUGCCAAAUUGCCAUCCAAAGGCAAUAGAAAAUGUAUAUUCUCAAUUUUUAGAUCUUUGUAAAUCUCAUAGAUGAAAAAUGUCAUCAGAGCACAGUUUUUUAUUUCUUUUACUAUGAAUGAGGUGAGUAUAUUUUGAUAUAUUUAAGAACAAUUUAUAUUUCUUUGUAUGAACUACUUAAAUGUUCUUACUUUAGUUUCUUCAUUUGUACCUCAGUUUCCUCAUAGGGUUGUUGUAAAGAUAAAAUAAUUCGUAUGCAGAAAUAUCAAGAACAGUGCCUAGAACAUAAUAAGCACCAUGUAAGCGGUUACUCUUAUUGCCAUCAUCAUCAUUUGUUCAUAUCCUUUAUCCAUUUUUCUACCGGGUUGUUGAUCUGUCCUCCUGUUUUUGUAGAAAUUACUGAAGUGUAAGAAGGGUGGCCACAUAUCACACAUCUCAGUUUGUCUGAGAAAGUCCCAAUGUAUGCCUGUUGUCUUAGCAUAAUAAUUAAUAAGGCCCCUGCACACUUUCAAAUGGUAGUGAUUUGAAUGAUAUGGUCACUUUCAAAUGGUAGUGAUUUGAAUUACAUGGUGAAGUAAAUUAAAACUGCAUUUGGAAUCUCCAAAAAAAAGACAAAUACAUAGAAACAGAGAGUAGAAUGGUGGUUACUAGAGGUGGGGAUUGGGAACACACAAAGGGGAUGGGGAGAUGGAGGUAAAAGGGUGCAAAGCUGUAGUUGUAUGUAGGAUGAAUAAGUCUAGAGAGUAAGACUAAAGAUCCAAUGUAUAGCAUGAGGACUAUAGUUAAUAGUAUUGCACUGCAUGCUGGAAAUUUGCUGAGAGAAUAGAUUUCAGGUGCUUUUAACACACAACGAGGGAAAGGUAACUAUGUGAGAAGAUGUGUAUAUUAACUUGCUUGACUGCAGUAACCAUUCCACUGUGUAUAUCAAAACAUCAUGUGGUCAGGAACAAUGACUCAUGCCUGUAAUCCCAUUGCUUUAGGAAAGGCAAGGCAGGGAGGAUCCCUUGAGACCAGAAGUUCAAGACCAGCCUGGGCAACACAGCAAGACCCCCAUCUCUAAAAAAGAAAAAAAAACUUAAUUAGCCAGGCAUGGUGACAUGCACCUGUGGUCCUAGCUACUCAGGAGGCUGAAGGGGGAUGAUCACUUGAGCCCAGGAGUUUGAGGUUACAGUGAACUAUGAUUGCGCUGCUACACUCCAGCCUGGACAACACAGCAAGGCCCUAUCUCUAAAAAGAAAAAUUUUUUAAAAAUAAUUAAAUAUAUAUAAUUUUUAAAAAAGAAAUAUGUUUAUUAAAAUAUGGUAGUAAAUUUUGAUCUGGCUUUUCAUAAAACAUUUAUUCUAAUUAUCUUACAAAAACUUUGGGGGAGAGAUAACAGUCAACUUUAGGAAUUAUAUGGAAUUAUAUGGUGAUUACUUCAUACUUGGACAUAUAAAACCUUGUAAUUUCAGAGCUAAUAUGGGAAUAUGUUCUACCUUCAGGAAAAGAAAAAAAUGGGAAGUCAGUGACAAACUAUUAAAAUCUAAAAAGAGACUGAUGUACAUUUAAUAAAAGAAGUGUAAAUUUAGCUUCCUGCAUUUAGAAAAAUUUCACUUUUUCUGGCCCCUUAGAAACAAUUUACAUGUAUACCAUUUAUUCACAUUUGUACUUUCUUAACUUUUUGAAACACUUUCAGUCCGUAAUUUCUUUUUAUUCACACAACUUUGUGAGGUAGGAAUGGUAAGUCGUCAUUAUCUGACAGCUAGGAAACCAAGGAACCUAGCAGAUAGCAGAUCACUUCAAGUCACAGAGAAAGCUAGCAAACACUGCUUCUCGAUCACCUAAUUCUCUUCCAGAAUGUCUCAGCACUAGCCACCUCUGUGCAAUAAAAAAAUACAACUCACUUCAGCGAGUUCAAAUAGAAAAGGCAUCCCAGAUCUCCAGAAGGAUCAGAGAGGCAGACUUGGAGACUACGCAGCCCAGAUCCCCACAUAAGUCGACCCAGCAACUACUCUGGGAAAGACCCAUUGCCCCUAUUAUUUGGCUUAUAAAGCAAAUGUUAGACACUGGAAGGUAGACCCUUGGGCUUGGUGAUCCUAAAAGAACUACACCUCCACUCUCCCUCAACAGGCCAAAAGAUUCCCUAUGGCUUCUAUUUCGUCAUUUUGCUCUCUUCCAAAUAGACACUUCAUUCAGAGACUAUGGUUAGCAGAGUCUAGGUCACUUCUCUGAGCCCGCAUUCAGAAUGUAAGAAAUCUCCCAAGGUAAAAAUGAUGUUUGAAAGGAAUGAGUAGACUCAACAUGGUAAGGUACAUCUCAUAAAGCUUUCUCAAAAUCAAUGUGAGUCAUAGAAUUACUGUGGUUUGGGGACUGAAAGGGAUCUUUCCAAUUGCCAGUAUUUUAUAAAUUUUAGGCUGUGAUUCAUUAGAGGGCCAUAAAAUCAACGUAGUACACCCUAUAGUUUUAAAAAACUAAAAAUAGAAUGGAAAAUACCACCAUGCACUGCAUUAGUGAAGAUAAGUAUUGCUUGGUGAAACUUUUGUCCUCAUUAUAUAUGUGGGUAUAAAUUUAUAUAUAUAUAUUUAUAAUAUAUAUAUAUGUAGAGUACAUAUAUAUAUAUACAUGUAGCGUAUAUGUCUAAGUGUCCUGUGCCAUCAGGUAAUAUGUAUUUCUUACUAGAGUCACAGUAAAAAAAAAAUUGAAAAACACUAGUCAAAUCCAAUCUCUUCAUUUUACAUUUGACAGAGGAUAAAUAAGGCUCAGAGAACCUUGCUCUGUUGGUUAAUGCAAGGCUGGAAUUAGGACACAGAAAAUUUUAGUCCUACAUUUCAUUGUAAGGACAUUAUCACUUAGAAGAAGUGUACUUCUUUUUUAUGUAGAUCUAUUCCUACAUUAGCCCUGUUAUGAUUAUCAGAUAUAUUUCAUUAAUUAGUAUAUCACAAAAUAGUAUGUUUUAUAAUUGUAUUUUGAGGUAAGCAUUAAUUAAUGAUUGUCACUUGGUUAACACCAGUCUAUUAACUUUUGAAAGAUAACAAAUCUAUGUGUUAUUUUGAAUACUUUUAAUGUUCGCAGUUAAAUUAUGAAUUGCAGGGAAGUCAUUGAAAUAGUAGUUAAAGACAUAAAUUUUUAAAGAAAAUAACCCUUUUAAUUUUUAAUCAAUAGAAGGAUUUUUAAGUUGUAAUCUGCCAUAUUGAAUAGAAAUAUAUCACUAAAAAUAUUUUUCUUGUUAGUUCUCCACUGUUUGUCUCUAUCAAAACAUUAAAUACGGAAUUUUCCA
rnacentral:lncRNA from 1 species